UACAGAGACCUCAAGCGUUAUCCGGAUUUAUUGGGCGUAAAGAGCAUGUAGGCGGAUAUAUUAGUCAGAUGUCAAAUCUUCGAGCUCAACUCGAAAACUGCAUUUGAAACGGUAUAUCUAGAGAGAGUGAGAGAUUGAUGGAACAUAUGGUGUAGCAGUGAAAUGCGUUGAUAUCAUAUGGAACACCAAAGGCGAAGGCAUUCAAUUGGCACUCUUCUGACGCUGAGAUGCGAAAGCGUGGGUAGCGAAUGGG
rnacentral:rRNA from 1 species